CCUACGGGAGACAGCAGUGGGGAAUAUUGGACAAUGGGGGGAACCCUGAUCCAGCGACGCCGCGUGAGUGAAGAAGUAUUUCGGUAUGUAAAGCCCUAUCAGCAGGGAAGAAAGAAGACGGUACCUGACUAAGAAGCCCCGGCUAACUACGUGCCAGCAGCCGCGGUAAUACGUAGGGGGCGAGCGUUAUCCGGAUUCACUGGGUGUAAAGGGAGCGUAGACGGCCGUGCAAGCCAGGAGUGAAAGCCCGGGGCCCAACCCCGGGACUGCUCUUGGAACUGUGCGGCUGGAGUGCGGGAGGGGCAGGCGGAAUUCCUGGUGUAGCGGUGAAAUGCGUAGAUAUCAGGAGGAACACCGGCGGCGAAGGCGGCCUGCUGGACCGCGACUGACGUUGAGGCUCGAAAGCGUGGGGAGCGAACAGGAUUAGAUACCCUGGUAGUC
rnacentral:rRNA from 1 species